ACAGAGGGGGCAAGCGUUACUCGGAAUUACUGGGCGUAAAGCGUGCGUAGGUGGUUCGUUAAGUCUGAUGUGAAAGCCCUGGGCUCAACCUGGGAAUGGCAUUGGAUACUGGCGGACUGGAGUGCGGUAGAGGAUGGCGGAAUUCCCGGUGUAGCAGUGAAAUGCGUAGAGAUCGGGAGGAACAUCCGUGGCGAAGGCGGCCAUCUGGAUCAACACUGACGCUGAGGCACGAAAGCGUGGGGAGCAAACAGGA
rnacentral:rRNA from 1 species